CCAAAUUCACAUCACUUUGCUACCUCCAUUUCCCUCCAUUCAAGGCCCAUUUCACCUUGAAUCCCUAGUUAGUGUAGUGACCAACAACAAAGGCUUUAGAGUUAAACUAAAGAGAUCGGUAGAGCA